AAACUAAUUUAAUUUGGCGGCAUUCCACUUAAUUAGAGGAAUUUGUCCUUUAAUCGAUAUACCACGAUAAGUUUCACUUCAUUCAAAAAUCUAUAUACCACCAUCUAAAGAAUAAAUUUAAAAAUACCUUUCACAACAAAAUAUAAUAAGUUAGGUCAAGGUAUAAUCCAUAUUGGAGAAUGAGAUGAAUUACAUUAAACACUAUUUAAACACAUUAAAACUCAUAUUAUAAGAAUUUAAAAGUAAUAUUAAAAUAAUAAUUUAUUAUGAUCUAAAUAUAAAAUGUGCACACAUCGCCC
rnacentral:rRNA from 1 species